rnacentral:rRNA from 1 species
UACGCAGGGGGCUAGCGUUGCUCGGAAUCACUGGGCGUAAAGCGCACGUAGGCGGACUCUUAAGUCGGUGGUGAAAUCCUGGAGCUCAACUCCAGAACUGCCUUCGAUACUGGGAGUCUCGAGUUCGGGAGAGGUGAGUGGAACUGCGAGUGUAGAGGUGAAAUUCGUAGAUAUUCGCAAGAACACCAGUGGCGAAGGCGGCUCACUGGCCCGAUACUGACGCUGAGGUGCGAAAGCGUGGGGAGCAAACAGG